AUGUAUGCGGUGGCAGAGGUCACUAUGGGCUCCGUGAUUAGGGAGCUUGGCAAUUUGCUCCAUGGCGAGUACAAGUUGUUCAAAGUAGCCAGGGACAAUAUCAUGUUUCUUAAAGCUGAGCUCGGGAGCAUGCACGUCUUCCUCAAGAAAAUGUCAGACACGGAAGAGGAGCCCGAUGAACAAACCAAGUGCUGGGUGGGCGAGGUGCGUGAGCUGUCCUACGAUAUUGAGGACAACGUCUAUGAUUUCUUGCUUCAUUCUGAACAUGAGUCCAACAACACCCCUCAGCAUGGCUUUAGGGGAUUCAUUGAUAAGUGCGUGAAUUUGUUGAUUUCGUUUGGUCAUCAUCAUGAGACCAUAUACGAGUUUCAAGGCCUCAAGAGACGUGUUGUGGAGGCAAGCGAGCGACGCACAAGGUACAAGCUUGAUGGCGCUGUCUCGAAGCCAACGAACAAAACAAUAGAUCUUCGCCUUCUAGCACUCUAUGCAGAGGCGGCGGCCCUUGUUGGUAUCGAGGGGCCAAAGGGGGAACUAAUUCAGUUGAUGAUGGAUGAAAAAAGUGUGUCUGCAGGCCAGCUGAAGGUGCUAGUGGGAUUUGGAGGUCUUGGUAAGACUACACUUGCAAAUCAGAUAUAUCGCCAACUAGAGACCCAGUUCGAGUCUCGAGCUUUUAUCUCUGUAUCCCAAAAGCCAAAUAUAAGGAAAAUUUUGAGACAUAUACUUUCUCAAGUUGGUUAUGCCUGGAAGGAUACCAACAAGGAAAUAUGGGAUGAGGAUAAAUUGAUUAGGACAGUCCAACAAUGUCUUAAAAACAAGAGAUACUUUAUUGUUAUCGAUGACAUAUGGGAUGAAAUCACAUGGAACAUUAUCAGAUGCGCUCUUCCAGAAACCAUGAAAGGUAGCAGAGUAAUAACAACCACAAGAAUUGAUACUGUUGGUAUGCUGUGCUGCUCCAAUCACUCUGAGUAUGUUUAUAGGAUGAAGCCACUAAGCAAACAAGAGUCAAGACAGUUAUUUUUCAAGAGAAUAUUUGGUUCAGAAGAUGUUUGUCCUCCUUUUCUGGAAGAAGUUUCAGAUAAAAUUUUAAAAAGAUGCGGUGGCUUGCCACUCGCAAUUAUUACUAUAUCUAGCCUUUUGGCUAGUCAACGAAGCAAACUGAAGGAGCAGUGGGAGCAUGUACUGAAUUCUCUGGGCUCCAACUUGGAAGUGCAUCCCACCUUGGAAGGAAUGAGACAAAUACUAAGCCUUAGCUACAAAAACCUUCCACAUUAUUUGAAGCCAUGCAUGUUAUAUAUGGGUAUAUAUCCAGAGGAUUACACAAUAGAGAAGAGUGAUUUGGUUAGGCAAUGGGUAGCCCAAGAUUUUAUAAGUAAAGCCCACGGGCGAGAUCCGGAGGAUGUUGCAGAGGGCUAUUUUGAUGAGCUUGUCAACCGCAGCAUUGUUCAAGCCGUAGAUACAAAUUCUGGUGAAGAGGUGUUGUCUUGUAGAAUACAUGAUAUGAUGCUUGAUCUUAUUAUACACAAGUGCAGAGAAGAGAACUUUAUCACCACAAUAGACGAUUUACAUGAUAUGGCUGGAUUGCAUGAUAGGGUCCGCCGACUCUCACUCAAUUUGGAUGGUGUAAUAGAUGACACGGUCUUGGGAACCAUCCAUCUCUCACAAGUAAGAAUUCUAGCAAGAUUUGGUACCUCAGCAUACAAACCUUCUUUAUCACAGUUCAAGCACCUCCGGGUAUUAACUCUUGAGUUUGCAAGAGCAAACCAUGGACCUGUGCUACUUGACCUCACUGGAAUUUGCCAUUUGUUCCAAUUGCGUUAUCUAAAAGUU
rnacentral:rRNA from 1 species